GGUGAGAUGGCCGAGCGGUCUAAGGCGCCAGACUAAGGUGUAUGUUUACCGGCUAUCUGGUCCGAAAGGGCGUGGGUUCGAAUCCCACUCUCAUCA
rnacentral:tRNA from 1 species